rnacentral:rRNA from 1 species
UACGAGAGGGGCAAGCGUUAUUCGGAAUAACUGGGCGUAAAGCGUGUGGAGGUGGUUUUAUAAGUCGAAGGUUAAAUUUUGUGGCCUAACCACAAAGCGGCGUUCGAGACUGUAAAGCUAGAGAUUGAGAGAGAGGAGUAGAAUUCUCGGAGUAGCGGUCAAAUGCGUAGAUCUCGAGAGGAAUACCGAUGGCGAAGGCAGCUCCUUGGCUCAAAUCUGACACUCAAGCACGAAGGCGUGGGGAGCAAACAGG